AGGUUCUGCCCAUCAAAUGCCCCUCUGUGCCAGUUUAAUCGCAAUUGCUUAAGCAAGGCGAGGGACUGUCCUUGGGGAGUCUUUGGCAAGUCUGGGACAUGCUUGCUGGGAAGAAUUUGACGCUUCCGGUAAGACAAACUAUUUCUGCACCCACCCUCUCCUUUCCGAAAUCUCUUGAGAAUUUUAUUCAUGGUUUUAAAAAGCAAUCAUUUUGCACGGUGCAAAACCUGCAGUUGUAGCCCUCGUGGAAGCAGCAUAGAGCGGGCUUGUGUCUAAUCAGUGGGUAGGGUGGGCGUCUCCCUGCUCAAUUAACUCUGGUCCCUGUGACUUGGGACUAUGCGAGCUGGUGGAAGAUCUGGAGUCCAGUCGGAUGGCCCGAAAAAUGAAGAAACAUAUUUGUUUAGUGUUGGACUGCCUCUGUGCCCAUGACUUCAGUGACAAGACAGCUGAGCUCAUCAAUCUCCAGCAUUAUGUCAUCAAAGAGAAGCGGCUUAGUGAACGAGAGACCGUUGUCAUCUUCUAUGACGUUGUGCGGAUGGUGGAAGCCUUGCACAAGGUUGAUCCUCCUCUUCUUUGUGGCAGCCCCUCAAAUACUGAAGCACCGCUAUCAUAUCAGCCUGAAUCCUUUUUUUCAUCGGACUAGACAAUCCCAAUUCCUGCAACCAUUCUUCAGAUGUUUUAGCCUCCAGCCCCUUAGUCAUCUUUGUUGCUCUUUUCUGCACUCGACCUAUUUUUUAUAAUAUGGUGCCCAAACCUGGAUGCAGUAUUCUAAGUGUGAUCUUACUAAGGCUUUAUAAAGUGGUACUAAUACUUAAUGUGAUCUCGAUUCAGUCCCUCUAUUAAUGCAGUUACUGCUAUUGAGCCAGGUUUCACUUAAUCUGUCUCUGAUUUGUCUUGCCUAAGUAUAAAACCUUAGAUUCACUAAAAUUGUUGCUCUGGCAAAGGAAAGACCCAUGCCACUCCUCCUAUUUAAGGUGCCUAUUAAAGUCUU